UACGUAGGGUGCGAGCGUUAAUCGGAAUUACUGGGCGUAAAGCGUGCGCAGGCGGUGAGCUGUGUCCGAUGUGAAAGCCCCGGGCUUAACCUGGGAAUGGCAUUGGAAACUGGCUCGCUGGAGUGUGGCAGAGGGGGGUGGAAUUCCGCGUGUAGCAGUGAAAUGCGUAGAGAUGCGGAGGAACACCGAUGGCGAAGGCAGCCCCUGGGCUAACACUGACGCUCAGGCACGAAAGCGUGGGGAGCAAACAGG
rnacentral:rRNA from 1 species